AUCAGUGGCGAACGGGUGAGUAACACGUGAGUAACCUGCCCCAGACUCUGGGAUAACCCCGGGAAACCGGAGCUAAUACCGGAUAUGACACCAACCUGCAUGGGUAUGGUGUGGAAAGUUUUUCGGUCUGGGAUGGACUCGCGGCCUAUCAGCUUGUUGGUGAGGUAAUGGCUCACCAAGGCGACGACGGGUAGCCGGCCUGAGAGGGCGACCGGCCACACUGGGACUGAGACACGGCCCAGACUCCUACGGGAGGCAGCAGUGGGGAAUAUUGCACAAUGGGCGAAAGCCUGAUGCAGCGACGCCGCGUGAGGGAUGACGGCCUUCGGGUUGUAAACCUCUUUCAGCAGGGAAGAAGCGCAAGUGACGGUACCUGCAGAAGAAGCACCGGCUAACUACGUGCCAGCAGCCGCGGUAAUACGUAGGGUGCGAGCGUUGUCCGGAAUUAUUGGGCGUAAAGAGCUUGUAGGUGGUUUGUCGCGUCUGCUGUGAAAAUCCGAGGCUCAACCUCGGACUUGCAGUGGGUACGGGCAGACUAGAGUGUGGUAGGGGAGACUGGAAUUCCUGGUGUAGCGGUGGAAUGCGCAGAUAUCAGGAGGAACACCGAUGGCGAAGGCAGGUCUCUGGGCCAUUACUGACAC
rnacentral:rRNA from 1 species